rnacentral:lncRNA from 1 species
CUAUGAGGUUGUAGUAUUCACUUUAUAGCCUUCUUGGUCCUAGUAAGAACUAAAGUUAACAUUUCUUUGUUUAUUAGCAUGAUUAUUGACUAUAUUUCCUCUUAUACACAUAUUGUAUCAUGUCAUUAAUUAUAUAAAAGGAAGAUGUGGUAUGAUUGCCAGUGGGAAAACUCUACGCAAGAGACCAAAAUGACACAGAAAUUAACAACUGUAGGUCACAACAUCAGAAACAAUUAACACAAAUACUUUUAUAAAAGUGUCAAUCAGGCUACAUCAAAAUUAAGCAAUGUUUAUUGCAUAAAAUACAAAAAUUGAUUCAAAUCAAGCAUUGUUUUAUGUUAUGUGGGUAUUGGUAUUGUGUGUGUCCUAUCAGAAACACCUUGUGUACAAAGAGGUGUAAGAAUCACGGCGUUUAUAUCAAUCACUUGCGCAUGCUGGCAUGUACCAUGUGUGUACAAGCAUAUGAGUAUUUUCUGUAAUUUAUAGAAACACUUAUGAACACGACAUCAACAAACGACAACCACUGAAAAUCAGAUUCCUGACUUAGGACAUGUGCGAAAAAAUGUAGCGGUUUAAAACGUUGCAAUAGGUACCAACAUUCGCCAUUAUCUGAAACAAUAGUGUACACAUCACAACAUAAAAAAGACACUCUACAAAAUAUCAAUUGAAAAGGCUAAACUCAAUCAAAAGGCAUAUUAUCACAAGUGAACAUACACUGAACAAAUGAAUUUGAUCUAUGAACAAUGUAAAAACAAAAUCAAUAAAUAAGGG